rnacentral:rRNA from 1 species
UACGGGGGGUGCAAGCGUUGUUCGGAUUUACUGGGCGUAAAGGGCGCGUAGGCGGCGUAACAAGUCACUUGUGAAAUCUCCGGGCUUAACCCGGAGCGGCCAAGUGAUACUGGUGUGCUAGAGUGCGGAAGGGGCUACUGGAAUUCUCGGUGUAGCGGUGAAAUGCGUAGAUAUCGAGAGGAACACCUGCGGCGAAGGCGGGUAGCUGGGCCGACACUGACGCUGAGGCGCGAAAGCCAGGGGAGCGAACGGG